UAAAAGUCGUAACAAGGUUUCCGUAGGUGAACCUGCGGAAGGAUCAUUAUUGAAUCAUCAAGCUGUUGCUGGCUCUCCUUGGAGUGCAUGUGCACGCUUCUUUAUUUCUCCAACUGUGCACGAAUUGUAGACCCUGGUCUAUGUUUUUCACAAUCUCUGAAUGUAUUAGAAUGGUUGUAAUCUGGGGAAUAAUACAAACAACUUUCAGCAACGGAUCUCUUGGCUCUCGCAUCGAUGAAGAACGCAGCGAAAUGCGAUAAGUAAUGUGAAUUGCAGAAUUCAGUGAAUCAUCGAAUCUUUGAACGCAUCUUGCGCUCCUUGGUAUUCUGAGGAGCAUGCCUGUUUGAGUGUCAUUUAAAACUUCUCAACUGUGUUUUUUAUGCAGAUUGGAAAUGGGGGGAUGACUUUGCAGGCUUUUUUUUUGUCUGCUCCCCUGAAAUAUAUUAGUGGUGUUUUGGCAAACCAACCACAGGUGUGAUAAUUAUNGAUACCUUGGUUGCAUCUUGCUGCUGCUGC
rnacentral:rRNA from 1 species